rnacentral:rRNA from 1 species
GUCUGGUUAAUUCCGAUAACGAACGAGACUCUAGCCUGCUAAAUAGUUCGCCGAUCCUCGGUUAGUCGGCGCGGAACUUCUUAGAGGGACAAGUGGCUUUCAGCCACGCGAGAUUGAGCAAUAACAGGUCUGUGAUGCCCUUAGAUGUUCGGGGCCGCACGCGCGCUACACUGAAAGAAUCAGCGUGUGUCCUGUCCUGGUCCGAAAGGAUCGGGUAAUCCGCUGAACCUCUUUCGUGGUAGGGAUUGGGGCUUGCAAUUGUUCCCCAUGAACCAGGAAUUCCCAGUAAGCGCAGGUCAUAAGCCUGCG